rnacentral:rRNA from 1 species
CCUACGGGUCGCAGCAGUGGGGAAUAUUGCACAAUGGGCGCAAGCCUGAUGCAGCAAUGCCGCGUGUGUGAAGAAGGCCUUCGGGUUGUAAAGCACUUUUAUCAGGAACGAAAUACCACGGGUUAAUACCCUAUGGGGCUGACGGUACCUGAGGAAUAAGCACCGGCUAACUUCGUGCCAGCAGCCGCGGUAAUACGAAGGGUGCAAGCGUUAAUCGGAAUUACUGGGCGUAAAGCGUGCGUAGGCGGUUUGUUAAGUCUGCUGUGAAAGCCCUGGGCUCAACCUGGGAAUGGCAGUGGAAACUGGCGAGCUAGAGUGUGGUAGAGGAUGGUGGAAUUCCCGGUGUAGCGGUGAAAUGCGUAGAGAUCGGGAGGAACAUCAGUGGCGAAGGCGGCCAUGUGGAUCGACAUUGACGCUGAGGCACGAAAUCGUGGGGAGCAAACAGGAUUAGAUACCCGGGUAGUC